UACGGGGGGAGCAAGCGUUGUUCGGAUUUACUGGGCGUAAAGGGCGCGUAGGCGGCCACCGCAAGUCGACUGUGAAAUCUCCGGGCUUAACCCGGAAAGGUCAGCCGAUACUGCGGGGCUAGAGUGCAGAAGGGGCAACUGGAAUUCUCGGUGUAGCGGUGAAAUGCGUAGAUAUCUGGAGGAAUACCGGUGGCGAAGGCGGCGUUCUGGACCAUUACUGACACUGAAUCGCGAAAGCUAGGGGAGCAAACGGGAGUAGAAACCCUG
rnacentral:rRNA from 1 species